GACGAACGCUGGCGGCGUGCUUAACACAUGCAAGUCGAACGGAAAGGCCCUGCUUGCAGGGUACUCGAGUGGCGAACGGGUGAGUAACACGUGGGUGAUCUGCCCUGCACUUCGGGAUAAGCCUGGGAAACUGGGUCUAAUACCGGAUAGGAGCCAUUUUUAGUGUGAUGGUUGGAAAGUUUUUUCGGUGAAGGAUGAGCUCGCGGCCUAUCAGCUUGUUGGUGGGGUAAUGGCCUACCAAGGCGGCGACGGGUAGCCGGCCUGAGAGGGUGGACGGCCACAUUGGGACUGAGAUACGGCCCAGACUCCUACGGGAGGCAGCAGUGGGGAAUAUUGCACAAUGGGCGCAAGCCUGAUGCAGCGACGCCGCGUGGGGGAUGACGGCCUUCGGGUUGUAAACUCCUUUCGCUAGGGACGAAGCUUUUUGUGACGGUACCUAGAUAAGAAGCACCGGCUAACUACGUG
rnacentral:rRNA from 1 species